UACCCGAUAGGUUAUGCUAAGGCAUCUUGGCAUAAUGAAAGCUGAGGCGGUAAAGGAUGGCCAUGCGUCCGAUUAGUUAGUUGGUGAGGUAAUGGCUCACCAAGACGAUGAUCGGUAGGGGAUGUGAGAGCAUGAUCCCCCUCACGGGUACUGAGACACGGACCCGACUCCUACGGGAGGCAGCAGUAAGGAAUAUUGGACAAUGCCCGGAAGGGUGAUCCAGCCAUGCCGCGUGCAGGAAGAAGGCCCUAUGGGUUGUAAACUGCUUUUGCAGUGGAGAAAACCCUCUGACGCGAUUGGAGGUUGCUAGUACACUGUGAAUAAGCAUCGGCUAACUUCGUGCCAGCAGCCGCGGUAAGACGAAGGAUGCGAGCGUUAUCCGGAUUUACUGGGUUUAAAGGGUGCGUAGGCGGAUAUAUAAGUCGGUGGUAAAAGGUCGUGGCUUAACCACGGUAUAGCCAUUGAUACUGUAUAUCUUGAGUACACUGGGCGUAUGUGGAAUAUGGCAUGUAGCGGUGAAAUGCAUAGAUAUGCCAUAGAACACCGAUCGUGAAUACAGCGUACGAUGGUGAUACUGACGCUGAGGCACGAAAGCGUGGGGAUCAAACAGGAUUAGAUACCCUGGUAGUCCACGCUGUAAACGAUGAUCACUUGCUGUUGGGCUGUAAUAAGGAUCAGUGGCAAAGCGAAAGCGAUAAGUGAUCCACCUGGGGAGUACGCCGGCAACGGUGAAACUCAAAGGAAUUGACGGGGGCCCGCACAAGCGGUGGAGCAUGUGGUUUAAUUCGACGCAACGCGAAGAACCUUACCAGCUCUUGACAUGGGUAGUAUGGGCCUGGGCGACUGGGCUCUUCAGUUCGGCUGGCUACCACACAGGUGCUGCGUGGCUGUCGUCAGCUCGUGUCGUGAGAUGUUGGGUUAAGUCCCGCAACGAGCGCAACCCUCAUCUUCAGUUGCCAUCAGGUUAAGCUGGGCACUCUGAGGAAACUGCCGGUGACAAGCCGGAGGAAGGCGGGGAUGACGUCAAGUCCUCAUGGCCUUUAUGGGCUGGGCUACACACGUGCUACAAUGGCGGUGACAGUGGGUUCUGCGCGAAGGGGCGACCCGGAGCCAAUCCCCAAAAGCCGUCUCAGUUCGGAUUGCACUCUGCAACUCGGGUGCAUGAAGCUGGAAUCGCUAGUAAUCGCGGAUCAGCACGCCGCGGUGAAUACGUUCCCGGGCCUUGUACACACCGCCCAUCACACCAUGGGAGUUGGUUCUACCUGAAGGCGGUGCGCCAACCGUAA
rnacentral:rRNA from 1 species